rnacentral:tRNA from 1 species
GCCUUUGUAGUGUAACGGUAGCACACUCGGCGUGUAUUCAAGAGAUCCAGGUUCGAGUCUCGGCAAGGGCA